AUGCCAAGGAAGGAGAGGAGAUUGGGUAUCAAGUACAUCCACAAUGAAAAAAAGCGUGCCGUCACCUUCUUCAAGCGGCGCGUUGGUUUGUUCAAGUGCUCCGCUGACCUCUCUGCCCUCACUGGAGCGAGUGUCGCCGUCGUCCUAGAGACGAACAUCGGAAAGAUGCACUCAUUUGGGACACCAUCAGCUGACCCCAUUAUUAAUGGUUUCCUAGAUGGGGUUCCACCAACGAAUACGUCCACUUGUGGUGUGCUGGCUACAAGGAUUGGCCAACUACAAUCUGAGGUGGCUCAGUUGGAGGAUGAGUACACAAUGGAGUAUAAGAGAACUAAACUAUACAUCCAACGUAUGAAGGAGAUCCAAGUUGGCAACCCUGGGAUGACAUCAAAUCUCAUAUUCUCCAAAGAAGAAGAUCUCAAU
rnacentral:rRNA from 1 species